rnacentral:sRNA from 1 species
ACAUUUGCUCAUAUAUAUCUUUAAAUAUCGGUUCCCCUGCAUUUGAGUGGCAUAAUGUUCGACAGUUUGAAAUAAGCAAUGUAACCCCGAGGAAAAGGCACAUCUCCCAAAAGCAGACCUUAUCCGCAUGUCCUCAAAAUCUUUUUCAAACUGAAGUUCAUCGAAGUUAGGAUCCGCUCCUGCAUUGUGCAGCAACAGGGAACAAGCAAUGAUGUAGUUUGAGGAAUUGUCAAAAUCAUGACAUGCCGAGUGAGAAAGAAGACUGUACAAAGGAUAGGUGCGGAAAGGUAUCGAAGCUCCAACAUUAUGUCCAUGCUUAAUUAAAAUUGUCGUCACAGCAAGUAGCCGUUCGUACCACUUCUUGUCAAAAGACAAGGUGUAGGAAUACAGGACGUGAAACAAGUUCAUUCCUUCAAAUAAUGUGGACAGAUCUGUCCGCAGUCGUAACAGCACGUCCAGACACUCUGGUCUGGCGUUUUUCAAAGCGGCACCCACUGCACUUUUGAUUUCUUCAUCCGAGGGAUGGUCUGAUAAAAGGGAGCAAAGAGCGUAGGGAGAGUCGAGCUGACACGCCAUCUCAAUAUAAGCCUCGUUGCCUUUGAAUUUUUUUCCUUGCACAAAUUUCCCAUGACAGUGGUCUAGAAUAGUUUUCACACAUCCGACGUGACCACUUUUCCCCGCUAAAUCCAAGGCUGUCUGCUUGAAAUCGCCCGAUUCUCUGUCGUCUGCAACUUUGCUGUCUUUGUAACGAUCACCGGCCGAUUUAUAAUUGAAAACUGCUGGAACAUUAUCCAAAGGACGUUCUUGAAGCAACAUAUUCAAAAUCAUUUUAUGUCCCAGUCUUGCCGCUAAGUGUAGGUAUGGGAAAGACGAAGAUUCGUGCGGCGGUUUAAAUAUACCUUUGUGAAAUAAGAGACUGACGGCCUCCAUGUUAUUCGCUAUAAUAGCAUAAUGCAGCACAUUCAUUCCAUUUUCACCUUUAUACUGUUCAAUGGAUUUCUUGCUGAUCUUUUCGAUGCAAGUCUUUAAUGCUGAUGUUUCACCGUAAGUCUGUAUCAUAUGAACCAAAGACGACACAGUCGAUGACUCCAUUUUGAUUGUAAAGCGUCCUUGGUUUUGGACCUUGGCCAAACAGUGAAACAAUCAAAGAAAGACAACUCUAAUUAAAUGAUUUGUAAAUUUUUCGUAAUGAAUCAGAGACAUUUAUAUAUGUCCCUGGUUGAAUUAAUAAAAGAAAUAUUGCUC